rnacentral:misc_RNA from 1 species
GGAAGUAAAAGUCGUAAUAAGGUUUCCGUAGGUGAACCUGCGGAAGGAUCAUUAUCGAAAUACUUAUUUAGCGUUCCGUGCUAUCCCAUUGUUUUAUUUACCCUGUUGCUUCCACUGGAUGAGUUUCCAUACCUUGUGUUUGAGAAACUUUGGCUUGUGUAAGAUUCAUUCACGGCCAGCCAGUGAGAAGACCAUUUACAAAACCCUGUUAAGAACCAAUUGUCUGAAUAUUUUACUCCAAUGAAAUAAAACUUUCAGCAACGGAUCUCCAGGCUCUU